UAGACACUUACGGUCCAACUCUGAACAAAGCACUCAACUUCAGUUUCGACCCAGUGAUUCGUCUGACAAACAAAGAACUUCACGUCCUGCAGGACCAGGCAUGGAUCCAAGCUGGCGAGACAUUCAAUGACGCCAUCUUCAAAGAUGAAUCAACCGUGGCCUUUGAGCAAUUUGCUCAAAGUUGCAACAGGGAAAAAAAGGAAGAAGAUCAAGCAGGCCGAAACGCAAGCAUCCCCUCAACCUCCAUGUGUGGGGGGCAAUUUCUCAACAGGGACCAGGCCCAUAUUUGAUUUUUGAUGGUAUCAUGUUGAUGAAGAACUGUUAGGGCCAAAUUGGGGGAUUUUCACACGUACAGCAGCUGGGCUAUGAAGAAUUGCGUGUCAAUUCAUAAACCAUGUGCCAUGGAAUCUCCUCCCAACUAUUUUGCAAACUAUAUGGCUCUCCGACACUUUGUGGUUGCAUGAGGUCUUGUGUUAGAAAUGUACUGAAGUCAAAUAAUUCAGUCGCACUGAAGUCUAACAAAACAGCCCCCAAUCUUUUUAUCAUCAAUUUCUCUCAGCCAAUCAUCAGUCAUUUGUG